rnacentral:lncRNA from 1 species
GUCACGGACUUAGUCGUUCACUAAGGUCGUGCGGCACUUAGACAAGCCAAGACGCUUGAUCUUGCUAAGUCAGCCUUGCUCCCAAUACUUAGCUUGCUCGGCUAAGACACUCGCGACUCAAAAGCUUAAGAAGCUUGGUAGGCAACUCCUUAAAGAAUGGAAGCUCUUAUUAACUCAAGAAGCUUUUACAAGUGCUUGGAUGCUCACUUGCUUGGUGCCUUGGCCAAAUGAGGCCCUCACCUAUUUAUAGGCACCAAUGGAACUCUCUAGAACCUUGGAGGGUUCCUUACAAUUCAUGAAUAUUCUAGAAUGUCCUACACUAUUCUAGAAUAUUCAAGAGACUUCUAGAAUGUCCUACACUAUUCUAGAAUAUUCAAGAGACUUCUAGAAUGUCCUACACUAUUCUAGAAUAUUCAAGAGACUUCUAGAUUUCUCUAGAAAGCUUUGGACCCUUCUCAUGCCUUCUACCAUAGUGUAGAGUUGUGUGGACUUCUCUAGGCAUUUCUAGAACCUUCCACACUCUUCCCACUAGUGGCUAAGUGUGGAUGUCUCCAAGGGUCUCUAGAAGCUUCUCACCUCCUAUAUAAGCCAUGGGGAGGGUCAUUUGAAGCAUCUUGUGACACUCUCCCCCACCUAAGCCGUCGACGUCCUCGUCGUUGCCUCAUUCUGAAACCUCUCGAUGUGUUUCCAAAAUUUUCUCAAGGCAUCCGCAUGUUCCCAGCUUACCUGUCUCUUAGGUAGUCCUUUCCAUCGGACUAGAUACUCUAUCACAGGAGGGAUCCCUUGUCUCCUGGUGACCCGUUCAGCCAGGAUAUUCUUCACCUCCUUCUCCCGUGAGGCUUCAAAUGGAUGCAGACCCGUGCGCUUUCGAUGCUUAGAGUGCUGCUUCCUCUUACCCAUUGAGUUCACCUUUCCCUUGGUGACCUCUUCCAUGUGUGUGCGGGCUACCUCAGCUCGCUCCCCUUUUUCCUCCUUUACUUGCACCCCUGCUAGUAAAGAGGUCUUAGGCGUACUAGGCUUCGGGUUGAAUUGGAGGGCACCUAGUAGCUGCAUUGAGCCCAUAUGUGCUUCGUCCUCCUGCUCCCUCUCCUCGAUCAUGGCACUAAGCGCCUUCCUCUUUGGACAAUCCCGUGCCCAAUGUGGUCCGUCACAUAGGAAGCAUUUGAUUUUAGGCGUGAACUCCUUCCUUUCCGCCUUACCCCUUCCUUCUUGGACGUUAGGCGUCUUGCUUGAUCCCUUUUUAGGAGCAUUGUGGUCCCUUGGAACCUCGUCUCCCCCACCCAUGGCGUGGCUAUCCUCCAAAGACUCAAUCUUGGAGGAGUCUCCCUUCCUAUAAUCCGUUAAAGACUCUGCUACUGCCAUAGCGGUGGCUAAGUCUUGAACGCCUCGGCGCCUUAAUUCCUGCUCGGCCCACCCUUGUAGGUUAUCCAUGAAGUUGAAUAGCAACUCCUCCUCAGUCAUGUUAGGAAUCUCAAGCAUGAGUGAAGAGAAUUCCUUGACAUAGUCACGUAUUGAGCCUGUGUGCUUAAGACGCCUCAUGUUUUUCCUAGCCAGGUAAGCCACGUCCUCGGGGUAGAACUGCCUCUUAAUCUCCCUCUUAAAGUCUUCCCAUGUCUCUAUGGUGAAAAUGCCUUUCUCCAUAUCGGCAAACCUCCGAUGCCACCAUAGAGUAGCUGUGUCAGUAAGGUAGAGGGUUGCAGUUCUUACCUUAGCCGCCUCAUCAGUCAAUGCGAUAGCCUCGAAGUAUCGCUCCAUAUGCCAUAAGAAGUUAUCUAACUCCUUGGCAUCCCUCUUGCCACUAAACCCAUGUGGCUUCGGCACCUCCACCCUAGAUGCCUCUUGUGUGGCCAUGACCCGUGCCAACACAGCAGCCUUGUAGAUGGCCAACUCCUCCCUAACUUCCUGGUCUCGGGACUCCAUUCGAGUGGCCAAGGCCUCUAUCCUUGACUCCAUGCUAGCAAGCAUGCUCAAGACCUUUCCUUGGAAAGACAUGAACUCCUCGUGUGACAUCGGCUGAACUUGCGAGACCAGCACCCCCUCGCGAAGGUCUUGGAUCUGCUCCCUUAGAUCCUCUAAGCCCUUCUCCAUGCCUUGCUCGAUCAAGUCCACCCCUUCCCGGGUGUCUGCCAUGGCUAGCUCCACCUUGGCUAACCUUGCCUCCAUGUUGGCAACAACAUCACAAGAUGUAUCCUUCUUACCUCUGCCCCUGCCCCGUGCAGUAGGCUCGGCCUCCCUCCCACGGGUUUGUUCGCUAGUCUCCUCCACGUUAGAGCCCGACAUGCUUCCCUUAUACCCGCUUCGUAGCCACGCUCUGAUACCACUUGUCACGGACUUAGUCGUUCACUAAGCUCGUGCGGCACUUAGACAAGCCAAGACGCUUGAUCUUGCUAAGUCAGCCUUGCUCCCAAUACUUAGCUCGCUCGGCUAAGACACUCGCGACUCAAAAGCUUAAGAAGCUUGGUAGGCAACUCCUUAAAGAAUGGAAGCUCUUAUUAACUCAAGAAGCUUUUACAAGUGCUUGGAUGCUCACUUGCUUGGUGCCUUGGCCAAAUGAGGCCCUCACCUAUUUAUAGGC